GAUGAACGCUGGCGGCGUGCCUAAUACAUGCAAGUCGAGCGAACGGACGAGAAGCUUGCUUCUCUGAUGUUAGCGGCGGACGGGUGAGUAACACGUGGAUAACCUCCCUAUAAGACUGGGAUAACUUCGGGAAACCGUAGCUAAUACCGGAUAAUCUUUUGAACCGCAUGGUUCAAAAGUGAAAGACGGUCUUGCUGUCACUUCUAGCUGGAUCCGCGCUGCAUUAGCUAGUUGGUAAGGUAACGGCUUACCAAGGCAACGAUGCAUAGCCGACCUGAGAGGGGGAUCGGCCACACUGGAACUGAGACACGGUCCAGACGCCUGCGGGAGGCAGCAGUAGGGAAUCUGCCGCAAUGGGCGAAAGCCUGACGGAGCAACGCCGCGUGAGUGAUGAAGGUCUUCGGAUCGUAAAACUCUGUUAUUAGGGAAGAACAUAUGUGUAAGGAACUGUGCACAUCUUGACGGUACCUAAUCAGAAAGCCACGGCUAACUACGUG
rnacentral:rRNA from 1 species